rnacentral:rRNA from 1 species
CCUACGGGAGGCAGCAGUGGGGAAUAUUGGACAAUGGGCGAAAGCCUGAUCCAGCAAUUCCGCGUGUGUGAAGAAGGCCUUCGGGUUGUAAAGCACUUUAGUGGGGGAAGAAACAGCUUGGCCACACCAAGCCUUGACGGUACCCCAAGAAUAAGCACCGGCUAACUCUGUGCCAGCAGCCGCGGUAAUACAGAGGGUGCAAGCGUUAAUCGGAUUUACUGGGCGUAAAGGGUGCGUAGGUGGCUAUUUAAGUCGGAUGUGAAAGCCCGGGGCUCAACCUCGGAAUUGCAUUCGAUACUGAGUGGCUAGAGUUCGGUAGAGGGCGGCGGAAUUUCCGGUGUAGCGGUGAAAUGCGUAGAUAUCGGAAGGAACAUCAAUGGCGAAGGCAGCCGCCUGGGCCUGGACUGACACUGAGGCACGAAAGCGUGGGUAGCAAACAGGAUUAGAUACCCCGGUAGUCCACGCCGUAAACGAUGAGAACUUGACGUUGGUUCGUUUUACGAAUCGGUGUCGCAGCUACGACGAUAAGUUACUCCGUCCGUCGGGUAGGUACGGCCGGCCGAACGGUUAGUAAACGUUAAAGGUAAAGUUAGUACGGCGUGAGACGUGCCGAACGGACGACGACGAGGGAGGUAGG